AUUUUUACUUUUUACAGAUUUGUCCAAUUUGCCAGAUCUCUUUCCCAACUGAUGUCUUGCCUUUUCAUGCAAGCAUGUGUGGUGAAGGAGAAAGGACUUUUGGUGACAAUGAUUCUUCAUUCACUUUAAAUACAGAAGAAUUGCCAGGACCCUCAACUGCACAAUCUUCAACAUCCCUGUCUGCAGCAUGGAAAAAUGAAAUUGACCCAUUCAAAUCAUCUCGAAUGUUCUGUGAUGAGUUGCUCUCCAUCAAUUCACACUGUCCAUCUCUAUCAUUACUCAUCAACCAGUUUGAUACUAUGGAUGAACAAGAUAGUACCCUGGUUUCAUU
rnacentral:lncRNA from 1 species